rnacentral:lncRNA from 1 species
CAAAGAAGAAUGGGGUCCAAUUGACUGAUAAAGAUGAAGUGCAGUCUCCAAUAGUCCUACCCAAUGAUGAUGACACCCACCAAAUCAGGAAGCGUGUGGAGAUCCAAGAGGCAGACACAUCUGAUUAUAAAUGCUAUGUUCACCAUGGAACAUUGCUGAAGCCAAUUGUGGGAAAAUAGGAUGGAAAAUGCUGUGACUAGCCAUGUCACAGGUGGUGUCAUUGGUGCUGUUGUGGUCCUUCUGCUCGUAUUGAUCUUGGUUCCUUUGAUACUGUUUAUUUAGAAAAGGAUAAUAUCACUCCUGGCGCAGAACCUGCAAUUCCCCAAAAUCGACCACAGUUCUGCAACGUUCACCUGUGGGCCACCGCUCUUCAAGGCCAACCUCUGCUGCUGUUAGGCCAUGACCAAUGGGGUAAAGACCCAUGAGUUGUUAGUUGUGGAGAGCUGUAUGGUACAGUGGUACUGAAGGAGGAAGACUGUGUCGUGGUAAUUGCUUGUAUUACUAAAUGAUGAGAGUUAUAAACCACACACAAGUCAGAGUUAUAUUUAAACUUCAUCUUUAAUUAUAUGAGCUUCACCAUAGCCUUAUGACUCUCAGAUCAAUUUAAUGUCUAUAAAUGAAUUCUGAGAGUGCUUACAAAAGAACACUAGUAUCUUUUAUAGCCAAGAUACACCCCCCUCAACUCACAUGACCAACCACAGAUCUCAGGAACUUCACAAAGGGCCUUUUACUUGAUAAAGGAGUAUCCCAU